AUAUAAUAUAUUAUGGUAAUGGCUGUAUUAAAUUUUAAUUUGUUUUUGUAAUUUUUAGACUGUGCUACCCCAUUGUGGUUCCAGGAUAAAGACUGAGCUAGAUAUUCAUGGCAGUCAUCGUUAUUGGAUUUAUUGCACCGACUGUGCUACCCCAUUGUGGUUCCAGGAUAACGACUGAGCUAGAGAUUCAUGGCAGUCAUCGUUAUUGGAUUUAUUGCACCGACGGUAUCUGUUGUGCCACUAUAACUAAGCUAGAGAUUGAUGGCAGUCAUCGCUAUUAAAUUUAUUACAAAGGAGUUUGGUGUAUCCUGAAGAAUGCUUCAAUAAUGGAUCGGCCUGUUGGCCAAAAGUGGUGGUUCUAAUGGAUAACGGAUUUAUUACGCGGAUCCUGGGAACUGCUUCGAUAUUGGCUCGGCCUGCCAAUCAGAUGAUUCUCUUUUGGAGCUCAUCGAAAACGCCAGUAGACUUCUAUCAACCGUACUUCGAUAUUAUCUUUUUUAGUAGACCAUUUCGAUGUCACUCCCCCUCAGUAGUAACAAUUAACAUGUAUUUUUAUUGUUCCCUGCGUGGAAAAUUACAUUGAAAUUUUUUAACGCUCAUUAUUUCAGUAUGGAAAAACACAUUAAAAUCGAAGUCGAUAAUUUAAAAUAUUUUUAAUGUCAAAUAAUUAACUCACAAAUGCAUCAUUGAUCAAACUAUUAAAUUAAAAAAUAUUUACGCUUGAUUUCGAGUCUUUGAUUUCUCUAGAGUAAAUACCAUUGCCGUACAACACUGAGGUAUUUUAUCAAUCCCCAAUCCGAAAAGAUUUUGUUUACAUCGAGUUUGUAAUGUUAACAACGAAAACAUUUAACAGCGAGACAAAUAAUAUCUCGCCUGUAAAUAUAUUUUUUUCUCUCAUAUAUGUCAACCGUGAUUUUCUUUUUGUUGUGUUCUACAUUUCUACAAUGAUUUCUGCACUUGCCAUAAGCAUAUAUAAAUAUAUAUAUAUAUAUAUAUCGUUUUGUAUUUUUAUAUAUAUUUUCUUUGAACUAUUUUUUUUUUUUUAAUUGCUCCGAGCAAUUAUUCCAUACCAUUACGUGUGCUUAUUCAUGCAAUCAAAAUAAAUUAAUAAUAAUCAUGAAUAUCAAUUUUUUACCACAUUAUUUAACUAUUUAGACUAAUCAUUUCACCUAAGGUACACACACACACGUUAGGAUUAUCUCAUUCGAUAUUUCGCUUACAGUUUAUUUUCGCGUAUUCGAUAUAUUCUAUAUAAUUUUUUUUUUUUUUUUCAACUUACAAAUAAAAUUCAUCUUAUGUAAUAUAGUCGAGCGAAAGUCGUGUGCUGUACAUGUCGACCUGUUCCUUUAUCAUACGGUUUAAACGGACUCUAACCAUUUUUGAUUUAUCUUAUUUUAAAGAAGGACCCAUUUAACUGUUAACCAUUGUAAUAUGUUGCAUAAUUAUUGUAUAAUCUUUUGUGAAACUUUUUUUUCUAAUUAUACCGUUAUUCAAUUGACAUUUUACUACCCCCAUUCACAAUCGUCGAACACUGUAAUUAUUAUUCUAUAUGAUAACAUGAAAAUAAAUCAACAACACGUUUUUAA